rnacentral:rRNA from 1 species
UACGUAGGACGCGAGCGUUAUCCGGAUUUAUUGGGUUUAAAGGGUGCGUAGGCGGAUUUUUAAGUCAGCGGUAAAAUGUCCGGGCUCAACCCGGGCCGGCCGUUGAAACUGGGGAUCUUGAGUGGGCGAGAAGUAUGCGGAAUGCGUGGUGUAGCGGUGAAAUGCAUAGAUAUCACGCAGAACUCCGAUUGCGAAGGCAGCAUACCGGCGCCCGACUGACGCUGAGGCACGAAAGCGUGGGGAUCGAACAGG